rnacentral:snoRNA from 1 species
AAACCAUGAUGAGGACACUCUAAGAGAAGAUCCUUAAAACGUUCCAUACACCUAGAAAAUGAUUCAUUUGGUUUUUGGUGAAACUGGAGAAUGUCGUUCCUAAGUUU